rnacentral:rRNA from 1 species
GUCCACGCCGUAAACGAUGGAAGCUAGCCGUUGGUGGGUUUACUCAUCAGUGGCGCAGCUAACGCAUUAAGCUUCCCGCCUGGGGGAGUACGGUCGCAAGAUUAAAACUCAAAGGAAUUGACGGGGGCCCGCACAAGCGGUGGAGCAUGUGGUUCAAUUCGAAGCAACGCGAAGAACCUUACCAACCUUUGACAUGCCUCGUAUGGUCGCCAGAGAUGGCUUCCUUCCCGCAAGGGGCGAGUGCACAGGUGCUGCAUGGCUGUCGU